rfam:Halothece sp. PCC 7418, complete genome.
UCAUUGCUGCGACGUUGGUGACUGCCAAUAUAGUUUUUUGAUCUACAAGCAAGACCUAUAAGGGAACCAACCCCUCUCGUGGCAGUAAACCGGGCUUGUACCCGGAAACUUAAAGCGAGAUGUCGGUACCCACCUGUUUACAGGAGGUCAUAAACUGAGGUAAAACGGCGUUGCGGUAAGUAA